GUGGGGAAUAUUCCGCAAUGGACGAAAGUCUGACGGAGCAACGCCGCGUGAGUGAUGAAGGUUUUCGGACUGUAAAGCUCUGUUGUUUAGGACGAAAGUGCCUGUUGCAAAUAGUUACAGGUAUUGACGGUACUGAACGAGGAAGCAACGGCUAACUACGUGCCAGCAGCCGCGGUAAUACGUAGGUGGCAAGCGUUGUCCGGAAUUAUUGGGCGGAAAGAGCAUGUAGGCGGGAAUAUAAGUCUGUUGUGAAAAUGCAGGGCUCAACCCCGUAUUGCGAUGGAAACUGGGUUUCUUGAGUGCAGGAGAGGAAAGGGGAAUUCCCAGUGUAGCGGUGAAAUGCGUAGAUAUUGGGAGGAACACCAGUGGCGAAGGCGCCUUUCUGGACUGUGUCUGACGCUGAGAUGCGAAAGCCAGGGUAGCGAACGGGAUUAGAUACCCGAGUAGUCC
rnacentral:rRNA from 1 species